rnacentral:rRNA from 1 species
ACGAACGCUGGCGGCGCGCCUAACACAUGCAAGUCGAACGAGAGAGAGGAAGCUUGCUUCCUCAAUCGAGUGGCGAACGGGUGAGUAACGCGUGAGGAACCUGCCUCAAAGAGGGGGACAACAGUUGGAAACGACUGCUAAUACCGCAUAAGCCCACAGGCCGGCAUCGACCAGAGGGAAAAGGAGCAAUCCGCUUUGAGAUGGCCUCGCGUCCGAUUAGCUAGUUGGUGAGGUAACGGCCCACCAAGGCAACGAUCGGUAGCCGGACUGAGAGGUUGAACGGCCACAUUGGGACUGAGACACGGCCCAGACUCCUACGGGAGGCAGCAGUGGGGAAUAUUGCACAAUGGGGGAAACCCUGAUGCAGCGACGCCGCGUGGAGGAAGAAGGUCUUCGGAUUGUAAACUCCUGUUGUUGAGGAAGAUAAUGACGGUACUCAACAAGGAAGUGACGGCUAACUACGUGCCAGCAGCCGCGGUAAAACGUAGGUCACAAGCGUUGUCCGGAAUUACUGGGUGUAAAGGGAGCGCAGGCGGGAAGACAAGUUGGAAGUGAAAUCUAUGGGCUCAACCCAUAAACUGCUUUCAAAACUGUUUUUCUUGAGUAGUGCAGAGGUAGGCGGAAUUCCCGGUGUAGCGGUGGAAUGCGUAGAUAUCGGGAGGAACACCAGUGGCGAAGGCGGCCUACUGGGCACCAACUGACGCUGAGGCUCGAAAGUGUGGGUAGCAAACAGGAUUAGAUACCCUGGUAGUCCACACCGUAAACGAUGAUUACUAGGUGUUGGAGGAUUGACCCCUUCAGUGCCGCAGUUAACACAAUAAGUAAUCCACCUGGGGAGUACGACCGCAAGGUUGAAACUCAAAGGAAUUGACGGGGGCCCGCACAAGCAGUGGAGUAUGUGGUUUAAUUCGACGCAACGCGAAGAACCUUACCAAGUCUUGACAUCCCUUGACGAACAUAGAAAUAUGUUUUCUCUUCGGAGCAAGGAGACAGGUGGUGCAUGGUUGUCGUCAGCUCGUGUCGUGAGAUGUUGGGUUAAGUCCCGCAACGAGCGCAACCCUCGCCGCGUGUUGCCAGCGGGUCAUGCCGGGAACUCACGUGGGACCGCCGGGGUUAACUCGGAGGAAGGUGGGGAUGACGUCAAAUCAUCAUGCCCUUUAUGACUUGGGCUACACACGUACUACAAUGGCGUUAAACAAAGAGAAGCAAGACCGCGAGGUGGAGCAAAACUCAGAAACAACGUCCCAGUUCGGACUGCAGGCUGCAACUCGCCUGCACGAAGUCGGAAUUGCUAGUAAUCGUGGAUCAGCAUGCCACGGUGAAUACGUUCCCGGGCCUUGUACACACCGCCCGUCACACCAUGAGAGCCGGGGGGACCCGAAGUCGGUAGUCUAACCGCAAGGAGGACGCCGCCGAAGGUAAAACUGGUGAUUGGGGUG